rnacentral:rRNA from 1 species
UACGUAGGGGGCAAGCGUUGUUCGGAAUUACUGGGCGUAAAGGGCGCGUAGGCGGCGUGUCAAGUCAGGCGUGAAAGCCCCGGGCUCAACCUGGGAACCGCGCUUGAGACUGGCAUGCUCGAGUUCGGGAGAGGAUGGUGGAAUUCCCAGUGUAGAGGUGAAAUUCGUAGAUAUUGGGAAGAACACCGAUGGCGAAGGCAGCCAUCUGGACCGACACUGACGCUGAGGCGCGAAAGCGUGGGGAGCAAACAGG